rfam:Citrus sinensis cultivar Ridge Pineapple sweet orange scaffold00002_contig_502, whole genome shotgun sequence.
UGAAUAUGCCGAAUUGUUGAAUGCCCAGACUCUGUUUUGGGUGGUAUGAUUCUAAAAUGCAUUGAAUAGGAAGAUCUGAUGC